rnacentral:rRNA from 1 species
GACGAACGCUGGCGGCGUGCCUAAUACAUGCAAGUCGAACGCAGUGGGGACGGGUGAGUAACACGUGGGUAACCUGGCAUAAGAGGGGAUAACACUUGGAAAAAGGUGCUAAACUGAAAUUGAGUGAUGGACCCGCGGUGCAUUAGCUAGUUGGUGAGGUAACGGCUUACCAAGGCCACGAUGCAUAGCUGACCUGAGAGGGUGAUCGGCCACACUGGGACUGAGACACGGCCCAGACUCCUACGGGAGGCAGCAGUAGGGAAUCUUCGGCAAUGGACGAAAGUCUGACCGAGCAACGCCGCGUGAGUGAAGAAGGUUUUCGGAUCGUAAAACUCUGUUGUUAGAGAAGCGGUAUCUAACCAGAAAGCCACGGCUAACUCCGUGCCAGCAGCCGCGGUAAUUC